rnacentral:rRNA from 1 species
UGUGGAAGCAUAGUGAUAUGUGAAGCUGACCAAUACUAAUUGCUCGUGAGGCUUGACUAUACAACACCCAAGCAGUUG